CUCACCUUAGCUCAGUUGGAAGAGCAUAGGACUGUAAAUCCUAGGGUCUCCGGUUCGAUCCCGGAAGGUGAGA
rnacentral:tRNA from 1 species